UACGGGGGGGCAAGCGUUGUUCGGAAUUACUGGGCGUAAAGGGCUCGUAGGCGGCCAACUAAGUCAGACGUGAAAUCCCUCGGCUUAACCGGGGAACUGCGUCUGAUACUGGAUGGCUUGAGUUCGGGAGAGGGAUGCGGAAGUUCCAGGUGUAGCGGUGAAAUGCGUAGAUAUCUGGAGGAACACCGGUGGCGAAGGCGGCAUCCUGGACCGACGACUGACACUGAGGAGCGAAAGCCAGGGGAGC
rnacentral:rRNA from 1 species